rnacentral:rRNA from 1 species
CUAGUGAUUAGAGUUUGAUCAUGGCUCAGGAUGAACGCUGGCGGCGUGCUUAACACAUGCAAGUCGAACGAACCUUCGGGUUAGUGGCGGACGGGUGAGUAACGCGUGAGAAUCUGCCCUCAGGAGGGGGAUAACGGUUGGAAACGACCGCUAAUACCCCAUAUGCCGAUAGGUGAAAUGAAUUUCGCCUGAGGAUGAGCUCGCGUCUGAUUAGCUAGUUGGUGAGGUAAUGGCUCACCAAGGCUUCGAUCAGUAGCUGGUCUGAGAGGAUGAUCAGCCACACUGGGACUGAGACACGGCCCAGACUCCUACGGGAGGCAGCAGUGGGGAAUUUUCCGCAAUGGGCGAAAGCCUGACGGAGCAACGCCGCGUGAGGGACGAAGGCCUCUGGGCUGUAAACCUCUUUUCUCAAGGAAGAAGAUAUGACGGUACUUGAGGAAUAAGCCACGGCUAAUUCCGUGCCAGCAGCCGCGGUAAUACGGGAGUGGCAAGCGUUAUCCGGAAUUAUUGGGCGUAAAGCGUCCGCAGGCGGCUUAUCAAGUCUGCUGUUAAAGCGUGGAGCUUAACUCCAUCAUGGCAGUGGAAACUGAUAGGCUUGAGUAUGGUAGGGGCAGAGGGAAUUCCCGGUGUAGCGGUGAAAUGCGUAGAUAUCGGGAAGAACACCAGUGGCGAAGGCGCUCUGCUGGGCCAUUACUGACGCUCAUGGACGAAAGCCAGGGGAGCGAAAGGGAUUAGAUACCCCUGUAGUCCUGGCCGUAAACGAUGAACACUAGGUGUCGGGGGAAUCGACCCCUUCGGUGUCGUAGCUAACGCGUUAAGUGUUCCGCCUGGGGAGUACGCACGCAAGUGUGAAACUCAAAGGAAUUGACGGGGGCCCGCACAAGCGGUGGAGUAUGUGGUUUAAUUCGAUGCAACGCGAAGAACCUUACCAGGGUUUGACAUCCUGCGAACCUCUUAGAAAUUUGAGGGUGCCUUCGGGAAUGCAGUGACAGGUGGUGCAUGGCUGUCGUCAGCUCGUGUCGUGAGAUGUUGGGUUAAGUCCCGCAACGAGCGCAACCCACGUUUUUAGUUGCCAGCAUUUAGUUGGGCACUCUAGAAAGACCGCCGGUGAUAAACCGGAGGAAGGUGUGGAUGACGUCAAGUCAUCAUGCCCCUUACACCCUGGGCUACACACGUACUACAAUGCUACGGACAAAGGGCAGCAAACUCGCGAGAGCUAGCAAAUCCCAUAAACCGUGGCUCAGUUCAGAUCGUAGGCUGCAACUCGCCUACGUGAAGUAGGAAUCGCUAGUAAUCGCAGGUCAGCAUACUGCGGUGAAUACGUUCCCGGGCCUUGUACACACCGCC